AGAGUUUGAUCAUGGCUCAGAAUCAACGCUGGCGGCGCGCUUAACACAUGCAAGUCGAACGAGAAAGGGGAGCAAUCCCUGAGUAAAGUGGCGCACGGGUGAGUAACACGUGGGUAAUCUACCCUUGGGUGGGGAAUAACGCUGGGAAACCGGCGCUAAUACCGCAUAAGCCUGGAAAGGAAAGGCGAAAGUCGCCGAAGGAGGAGCCCGCGGCCGAUUAGCUAGUUGGUAGGGUAAAGGCCUACCAAGGCUUCGAUCGGUAGCCGGCCUGAAAGGGCACACGGCCACACUGGCACUGAAACACGGGCCAGACUCCUACGGGAGGCAGCAGUGGGGAAUCUUGCACAAUGGGGGAAACCCUGAUGCAGCGACGCCGCGUGAGUGAUGACGCCCUUCGGGGUGUAAAGCUCUUUCGACCGGAACGAUAAUGACGGUACCGGGAGAAGAAGCUGCGGCUAACUACGUGCCAGCAGCCGCGGUAAUACGUAGGCAGCGAGCGUUGUUCGGAGUUACUGGGCGUAAAGCGUGCGUAGGCGGUUUUCUAAGUCUGGUGUGAAAUCUCCCGGCUUAACCGGGAGGGUGCGCCGGAUACUGGAAGGCUUGGAGUGCGGGAGAGGUAAGCGGAAUUCCUGGUGUAGCGGUGAAAUGCGUAGAUAUCAGGAGGAACACCGGUGGUGUAGACGGCUUACUGGACCGUAACUGACGCUGAGGCACGAAAGCGUGGGGAGCAAACAGGAUUAGAUACCCUAGUAGUCC
rnacentral:rRNA from 1 species